GACUGAGCUUUCUCGCCAAAUGACGACUUCUACCACAUCUAUUGACAUUAUGGGUCUGCAAGCUGCUUAUGCUAAUUUGCAUACUGACCAAGAACGUGAUUACUUCAUGCAGCGUUACCAUGAUGUUAUUUCUUCAUUUGGAGGUAAAACCUCUUAUGACGCUGACAACCGUCCUUUACUUGUCAUGCGCUCUAAUCUCUGGGCAUCUGGCUAUGAUGUUGAUGGAACUGACCAAACGUCGUUAGGCCAGUUUUCUGGUCGUGUUCAACAGACCUAUAAACAUUCUGUGCCGCGUUUCUUUGUUCCUGAGCAUGGCACUAUGUUUACUCUUGCGCUUGUUCGUUUUCCGCCUACUGCGACUAAAGAGAUUC
rnacentral:rRNA from 1 species